ACGCUGGCUGACCUGGCAAAGGUUAAUAAUGCCAGGACAUUAAAGAAUUUCAUCCUGGGAAGGAAGAGACAACCAGGGAUUCUGUUCCCCCAACACAGCUGAGAAAUAUGUGGUGUAUCUGCUCCAGCGGCGAUUCUUGGCAGCCCAGCCUACUCUGGCUAAUGUAGCCAUAGCCACGUCGGGAGGAUGUCAGCAAAGGGUAAUUUUAGUACCACUUUGGUGAUGUGACACAGACAGUUUGGGAGACUGAAGGGGAAAUGGCAAUUCCUACUGAAGCAAAAUGGCACAGAACUGGAGUAUAUCCCUACAGUCAUGGCUGCUUGUGUUGUGCUCCCUCUUGUUUGGGAAAGCUGCGAAAACACAUGGGAUGCUGAGGCUGGGCAUUUUCUUCAACUCAUUGUGAGCCCCGAGGCUACUAGUGAUGGUCCUGCUGUCGUGGUGAACAAGAGGCUACAAGACUACAGUCAGAUGGUGACAACUAUUGGUUGAAUUGCAUUCAUCCUGAUUUCUUAGAGGCUACAUAUCCCAUUGCCAUUACCCUGAUUCACUCACACUUGCAAUCCGCUGGCAGUUGCAACAGGAUUCUGUAUUCAUCACUCUGUCUCCACUGGAAUAUCAGGAACAUUAAGUCUAUUCUUCUCUGAUUUUGCUGGAGGAUAUGUGGGAGGUCUCGGGGAUACCAUCCUAAUGGAAGACGGGAGGUUGUCAAAGCCUUAAACAAAGUUCCCUUUAUUCUGUGUGUUGGUCAAUCUCUGAAGUCAAAAAACAUAAAUGUCUCCACUACCAAGCAAACAAAACCCACAACAACAGCAGAAGUGAAGGCUGGGGCAGGUGACUACCGAGAAGUACCCCCACUGGGAGAGGGGAGCCUUUGGAACCAAGUUCAAGACUCAAGACAAGAUAAUAUUUCCAAUUUAGAAGACUGGGCCACUGCAGAAUGCUUGGAAAAGGAGGUAGUCUAGAAGUAUUGAGAGGGAAGAGUGAGCAGAUGGAAAAUGUCUCUGGACACACGGAUGGCUGAACCUUUUCCACCUGUGAUGGCAUUGGUGGUAUCAUCACAGGGGUCUGCCAGAGGGAUCUGGCAGGAUUCAACAGAGUCUCAUUGAAAGGCAGGGCAACCCCCA